rfam:Oryza glumipatula chromosome 1, whole genome shotgun sequence.
UUUAAGUGCAACUAUGAGUUUCCGUGUCCAACUUUGAUCGUCCGUCUUAUUUGAAAAUUUUUUAUAAUUAAUAGUUUUGUUGUUAAGAGAUAGUAAAACAUAAAUAAUACUUUAUACACGACUUAGUAUGUUAUAAACCGAACAAAUAGCUUAAAAUAAGUGGUCUACGUAUAUAAAGUUGUUGGAAAAAUCAUAUUUUGAUGCAAA